ACUCAAUCGGUUAUUAGGGGUAGUCUCAAAGACACGAUUUGCCGCAAUGGUUGAUGGUUGAAAGAUCACUUUCAUUCAAAAUCGUUCAUUCAUCUUCCUUGAAAAGUUGUAUUCGCAUGGUGUUAAACUUGCAUUGUGAGUUCUAAAGUGGUUUUAUUGUUAGUGUGAUGCAGUGAUAUUGUGUGAUAAUGUCUGGAUCCGACAAAAAGAGGUCUAGAAAGUCUAAAUUGAUACCGCGGUCGGAGAACGACGACGAUAUUAAAUUGCAGGAUGAUCGUCAGGAAAAGAGAGCAGAAUUAAACAAAAGAAUGUCUCCAGACAGAAAUCAACCAUCGACAUCGACAUACAGGCCGAUGCAGUUCGACGUAAAAAUUGAAGUUGAAGAAUGUGACGAUGAGGAAUUCUCUGGCACCAUAACAAACUUUAUUCCGGAUGACCAAAUCAAAACUGAAAUUACGAAUGAAAAUGACUUAUUUGAAGCAGAAGAACUCAAAACUGAAAUUAUCAAUGAAAAUGACUUAUUUGAAGCAGAAGAACUCGAUAUCAACAUGCUUUUAUCGCGAGCACUGAAAAUGAAAAAAGAUAAAACGACUGGCAAUAAAGAUAUUAAUAACGUGUUAUCUAUUAUAAACGAUCAUAAAUAUACAAAUGAAGAUGAAGCCCCCAAAACGAGCCGAAUUCAAAAACCAACGUCGAUCUACCAUUUGCAUUUGGAAGAGGAUUAUAUUUUGGAGGCUAUAGAUGAGCUGAGUAAAGAGGAUUUGUCUCCGGCAGACAAAAUAUUAGCAGUCGAAUCGAAGAAUCUGUGGGGUCGACUGAGGAUGGUGGAUGACACACCAUCGAAGCAAGAAGCAAGAAUCCAAAUAGCGCUGAACUCUUGGAAGUACUGGAAAGUUACAUGUAAGAGUGGAUACCUCCCAAAGAUGUACAAAUGUUACAUUUGCGAGAAAGCUUGGUGGCAUCUCGGACCGUUCCAAGAUCACAUGAACAUGCACGAUGAUAAGGAAUUGAGAGUUGAGACUGAAUCACAGGGUUUGGAGUACAACAUCAUUGCGUACAAUCCAAAAGCGCCGCACGCUUUCAAAAGUUUCGAAACUGAUACACACUGCUGGAAAUGUGGUUACACGUACAACGAACAUCCGACCGAAGAGACCAAGAACUACCCGUGCACCCACUGCGGUUUGUCAUUUGGGACGUGCAUAAAGUUGAAAAGACACGAAUGUGAUUGUCUUCCAAAGCUCAAGAUCCUAGUAAAAAAUGGUCCCAUAGUGGUGUACUCGUGUAAAAUAUGUGACUUGAAAGUAUUGUCCAAAGAUUCCUUAGAGAGACAUUACAUGGACUACCACGACGUCAGAUCGGACUUGCCGACGACGGUCGAUGUUAGGACUUGCACGACUUGCUCUAAGAAUUACAUGGCGCUUCCGUUUCAUUAUUGCAACAAGAAAAAUUACAGCGUCAUGUGCACUUUCUGCAAUAAAAGGUUUCCAAGCAAGGUUGCGUUGACCAUCCAUUUGAAGGAGAAAGACGAUUAUCCGUGCACUGUGUGUAAGAUGGUGCUUCGCAAGAAAUGCCAGGAGGCGGAGCAUAUGCUACAACACACAGACAAGUUCACAAGGCUGUACAAAUGUUUGUCGUGUAAAGAGAACGUGAUGUUGUUCAACGAAGACUCUACACGGAGACACAAAAUAAUCUGGCACAAGCAGAAAAUCGACAAGAGGCGUAACUAUUUCGAAAUGGUGUUGGCUCCCCGGAAAUUCAUCGAGGCGCAGACGGUUGAAGAGAUGGACGCAUCCUGUGGCAUCAAAAGGAACUUGGUCAAAAUGAACGACAGUGACUUCCAGAUGAGUAUGAAAGAAGAUGACCCGGUGACGGAAAGACUUAGAAAUACAGCUACUUUGGCAUCAGCUGUCGAAGUCGAAAUCCAAGCUUUGGACUCAGAAAUCGAUAUAAUCGAUCCAGACAAGCCGUCCACUUCAGCCCUCGACGAAGAAGAAUUCGAAGAUAUCAACGAGAGCAUAGUAAAAGAAAAGAUGCUCGUAGAAAUGCAGAAGAAUAAUAGUUUUACAGAAGACGACGAGGGUUACGAAUAUAUUCUUUCAAGCGUCUUCAACGCAUCCGGCCAAAAACGCAACGUCAACCAAGUCGAUGACUUCGAAGAAAUGAUUAAUCGAGAACUAAAGAAGACGAAAAAGAACGAAACUGUAUCUGACACAACAUCUAAAGACGCACAGAACAACGCCAGUCCGAAAAAAGCAAAACCAAAGGCACCGAAUAUCGCAAAGAUAGUCCCGAAGAAAGACAUUAUAGUACCGAAGAAAGACAUAAUAGUACCGAAGAAAGACAUAAUAGUACCGAAGAAAGACAUAAUAGUACCGAAGAAAGAGAUCAAGAAACCCGUACCUGUACCCACACUACCCAUACUGGUCAACCCAGGCGAAAGUUUGUACCAUGGAAGAGUAAGGUGUAAUUUCACUGGGUGUGACCACAUAGCGGAGAACAGAAAAGAAUAUAGAGAGCACAAGCUCACACACAAAGCGAAAGUCAUGGGUUGUGGCUUAUGCAAAGGAUCCUUCAACUCCAUCAGGGCAUAUUUGACCCAUUUGUCUAACCACGGCUACAAGGAAUGGACGUGCCCAGAAUGUUUGCGGUCAUACACUACGUAUAGCAGUUUAGUUUCCCAUGUGAAGGGGAUGGCAUUAAGAUCGUUUUUCAAGUGCCAGUAUGUCGACAAAAAUCCCGACCCAAGUGGUCCGACGAAGCUGUGCGUUACUUACCAGUGCAAGCGAUGCAAGACCACCGUUUUAAAGGAGAAUAUUCUGGACCAUUGGGAGUCUCACGUCGGUUCUGCUCAGGUGAACGUGGAAAUUGAGGAGCAGGAAGGGGUGGUGGACCUCCCUCAGUAUGAACAAGGGAACGGGGUUGUGGAAAAUAAAAUGGACUCGGAUGUCUUGAGACGGACCAUCGCGGCGCUCCUCAGCCACAAAAAGAAGGCUGCACACAACAAGACGUGCGUCGCUUGCGGGCGCUCCUUCGACCGCCGGAACGACUGCAAGAGACACCACAUCGAGCAUUUACUAGCGCACGCUUAUGAGAACAAGAUGAUUCACAAAGGAUUGCGCUGCCAAAUCUGUUCAAAGCUUUUCGAGAAACCCGAUAGCUACAAACAACAUAUGCGCGAUCAUGGCAACCUGCCCAUAUACCAGUGUGGGAUAUGCUUCAAAACCUUCAGCGAUUCCAGCAACCAUGUCAAGCACCAGAAGACUCAUGGGUCCAUGUACAUUUGUGAUAUAUGCAAGAAGAAGUUUCAAGCUAAGUCGUCGCUUAUCAAGCAUAUGGAGUGCCACUCAUCAACGGACCCGAUCAAGUGCAUUUUCUGCCCUAAAGUGUUCUACGCUGAGUCCGAUUUCUCCCGUCACAUGCGGAUCACGCACGAUCAACGCUUGUUCAAGUAUUCGUGCAUCAUUUGCAAGAAGAAAUUCAUGUCGUGCAAGGACAAGUGGGAUCAUAUGUGGAUAGAGCACAAGGAAAGACGGGUGGUAGCAGACUGCCCAGUUUGCGGUGCGGAAUUCCGCAAAGUGAACGAUAUGAAACGACAUAUGAAAGCGCAUCACGAAUUAGAUAUUACAGUCGGCAAUAUGAAAGUUUUCCAGCAAUUACUACAUAAAAUGCAGGAAGCUGUCUCGAAGAACAAGAAAAACCAAACAAAUGUGGAGUUUCAUGACGAAAUCGUGAUCAAAACGGAACGUUUGUCCGAUACUGAAACUGAACUGAAUGAAUGAAACGUAGCAUGAAGCGGAACUGGUCGUCGGACCAGAUGAUGAUAAGGAUACCACCAAUCAAAGCAUUGUGGAGUGAUGUUUGAACUCUUAAGUAAGUUCUCCUUUAGUGGUAGACAUUGAGUCUUAACGCUAAAAUAAUACAGGGUGUUGAUUUCAAUCCUCGCCAUAUUUAUUUAGGUGAUAUAUUAUGACCUACAUAAACUCAUUAUCCACAAAAAAAAAUACAAACGAAAGUGGAAUUUUUAGCGAAUAUUUUCCGUGCAACAUCAACUGUACUGUGGCUCGUAAUACUGCAAUACGCUUACACUGCUGCUCCAUCGAGCUACGCGGAUCGCUCGCUUAUCAUGUUGGAUAACCUCCUGAAGGAAGCCACUUAAACACACACUACCUACAGUGUAAAAGGUAUUUUUCUUUGACUACCUAAAGUUAAAGUUCGUUUUAAAUUUUUUUGAAGUCAAUUUUUUUACGGAUUCGUGAUCAGAAUAAGCUACUUAAUCAACUCCCUGAAUAUGGCGAGGAUUGAAAUCAACACCCUGUAUAUUGUUAAAAUUCACACUGAAAUGUGAAAUAAAAUCAUUGCCUGUACUAUUUGACGCUGACUGCAAUAAUGUUAUUCUCAUUGACAUGAAAUGAAAUGUUAUGUAUUAUGUAUUUUACUUGAUGUAUUCUAAAUAAUUUUACUGAUAUUGUACAUAGAUUUCUAACUUCUUCUUAAGUUAUUAUGUUCUUUGGUAUUAAUGUUGUACCAGUUGAAUAUUAUUAUUUGUAUGACUGUGCCUGUAUGGUCAGCUGGGAAUAACUCAUUCUAAGGCUGGAUUGCACCAUUUUACUUUAACAAUAACCGUUGUUUUUUUGUAUGGAAUUUGACAGAUUUUUGACGUUUG